rnacentral:rRNA from 1 species
UACGGAGGGCGCGAGCGUUGCUCGGAAUCACUGGGCGUAAAGCGUCCGCAGGCGGACACGUAAGUCGGGUGUGAAAGCCCGGGGCUCAACCCCGGAAAUGCACUCGAAACUGCGCGUCUCGAGUACGGGAGAGGGAAGCGGAAUUCCUGGUGUAGAGGUGAAAUUCGUAGAUAUCAGGAGGAACAUCCGUGGCGAAAGCGGCUUCCUGGCCCGAUACUGACGCUCAUGGACGAGAGCGUGGGGAGCAAACAGG